rnacentral:rRNA from 1 species
UAGGGAAUCUUCGGCAAUGGACGAAAGUCUGACCGAGCAACGCCGCGUGAGUGAAGAAGGUUUUCGGAUCGUAAAACUCUGUUGUUAGAGAAGAACAAGGACGUUAGUAACUGAACGUCCCCUGACGGUAUCUAACCAGAAAGCCACGGCUAACUACGUGCCAGCAGCCGCGGUAAUACGUAGGUGGCAAGCGUUGUCCGGAUUUAUUGGGCGUAAAGCGAGCGCAGGCGGUUUCUUAAGUCUGAUGUGAAAGCCCCCGGCUCAACCGGGGAGGGUCAUUGGAAACUGGGAGAGUUGAGUGCAGAAGAGGAGAGUGGAAUUCCAUGUGUAGCGGUGAAAUGCGUAGAUAUAUGGAGGAACACCAGUAGCGAAGGCGGCUCUCUGGUCUGUAACUGACGCUGAGGCUCGAAGGCGUGGGGAGCAAACAGG